rnacentral:rRNA from 1 species
GAUGAACGCUGGCGGCGUGCCUAAUACAUGCAAGUCGAGCGAACAGACGAGGAGCUUGCUCCUCUGACGUUAGCGGCGGACGGGUGAGUAACACGUGGAUAACCUACCUAUAAGACUGGGAUAACUUCGGGAAACCGGAGCUAAUACCGGAUAAUAUAGUGAACCGCAUGGUUCAAUAGUGAAAGACGGUUUUGCUGUCACUUAGAGAUGGAUCCGCGCCGCAUUAGCUAGUUGGUAAGGUAACGGCUUACCAAGGCAACGAUGCGUAGCCGACCUGAGAGGGUGAUCGGCCACACUGGAACUGAGACACGGUCCAGACUCCUACGGGAGGCAGCAGUAGGGAAUCUUCCGCAAUGGGCGCAAGCCUGACGGAGCAACGCCGCGUGAGUGAUGAAGGUCUUCGGAUCGUAAAACUCUGUUAUUAGGGAAGAACAAAUGUGUACGUAACUAUGCACGUCUUGACGGUACCUAAUCAGAAAGCCACGGCUAACUACGUG